AGUGAACGCUGGCGGUAGGCCUAACACAUGCAAGUCGAACGGCAGCACAGUAAGAGCUUGCUCUUACGGGUGGCGAGUGGCGGACGGGUGAGGAAUACAUCGGAAUCUACUUUUUCGUGGGGGAUAACGUAGGGAAACUUACGCUAAUACCGCAUACGACCUACGGGUGAAAGCAGGGGAUCUUCGGACCUUGCGCGAUUGAAUGAGCCGAUGUCGGAUUAGCUAGUUGGCGGGGUAAAGGCCCACCAAGGCGACGAUCCGUAGCUGGUCUGAGAGGAUGAUCAGCCACACUGGAACUGAGACACGGUCCAGACUCCUACGGGAGGCAGCAGUGGGGAAUAUUGGACAAUUGGCGCAAGCCUGAUCCAGCCAUACCGCGUGGGUGAAGAGGGCCUUCGGGUUGUAAAGCCCUUUUGUUGGGAAAGAAAAGCAGCAGGUUAAUACCCCGCUGUUCUGACGGUACCCAAAGAAUAAGCACCGGCUAACUUCGUG
rnacentral:rRNA from 1 species